GCUGGGCAUGGUGGUGCAUGCCUGUAGUCCUAGCUACUCAGGAGGCUGAGGCAGGAGGAUUGCUUGAGGCCAGGAGCUUGAGGCAGCAGUGACCUAUGAUUACACCACUGCACUCCAGCCUGGAUGACAGAGUGAGACCCUGUCUCUA
ensembl:misc_RNA Metazoa_SRP Metazoan signal recognition particle RNA